GAUGAAGAACGUAGCGAAAUGCGAUAAGUAGUGUGAAUUGCAGAAUUCAGUGAAUCAUCGAAUCUUUGAACGCACAUUGCGCCCCUUGGUAUUCCAUGGGGCAUGCCUGUUCGAGCGUCAUUUGUACCUUCAAGCUUUGCUUUGUGUUGGGUGUUUGUCUCGCCUUUGCGUGUAUACUCGCCUUAAAAUAAUUGGCAGCCGGCGUAUUGAUUUCGGAGCGCAGUACAUCUCGCGCUUUGCACUCAUAACGACAGCGUCCAAAAGUACAUUUUACACUCUUGACCUCUGAUCAGGUAGGGAUACCCGCUGAACUUAAGCAUAUCAAUAAGCGGAGGA
rnacentral:misc_RNA from 1 species